CCCUGAUGCUGAUAAUACUCCACCUUGGACGGUCCAGUCCCCGGGCAGAGACGUCCUGUGCUCCGACACUUUGGGCAGGACGUGAAUGCUCCCUGAAAUGGUCUCGGAUGCUUUCCUGGCCAAAGCGAAGAUAGGAGCCUGCCAUCGCCCGUCUCCUCCACCACCACCUCCUCUCACCGUGCUGCUACUGUUAACGCUAGCUUUCUCUCCAACACCAGAUUUCUCCUCCUGCAGCCUCAAAAUGCCAAACACCUGCGCUUUCUCCUUGCUGCUGUCCGCUUCAGACAGAGCCAGGUCGUGCUCUGCGGGCGAAGCCAUGUUCACGGACCUCUGAAAUGAUUAUAGCCAGUGCUUGUCGGUGCGAAAACACACAAAUUCAUACGGUUUGCUAACCGUUAACGAGCUAGCCUUGAUGUACAAUUCACCCGGUGACCAUUGUGACAACCGUGGCACAAAAAUACCUGCGAUACCACCGGCCAAAGCAAUGACAGGGCUCGCUCGAGUCAACAACCAACCGUCGUCAACGUCCCCGGACUGUGAAGCGUAGGCGUCGGUCUACAUGGUGGACGUCGGGGGCGCGGACAGCUGCUCCGUUCAUCGCGGCGUUGUAAAGAUUUGUUUACACCCUGCAGACCUAACCGAUAGUUGGCUACGGUCCCGCUGCACCCUCCGGAGGGGCGGUGUCAAAAGGCUCACAAGACACACAAAAGGCAGCACUACCGUUACGUAAUGAUUUUAGCGGCUGCUGUGUUGUGGACUUGCCGCCCUCUGCUGCUGGACGUGAGAACUGCACGGCCCCCCUCCAGCAGAAGUGAACUGCAGACAGGAGAGUUGCUUUUUGCUGCUUCUGCAUACGUUUACGACUGGUGACUCUGGUGGCUCACUCUUGACUCAUGGAAAGGUAUUAUCUGUAAUGAGCGGUGGAGACUCUGAGGGGAGUACAUGGUGUGGGACUCUCCUUUGCCUUGUUGCAACGAGGAUGGUAAAUCAAGCAGAUCCCUGAGUCCUGAAGUGGCUCGCUGUAGGCUGGUUUCUGUUGAGCUGGAGCCACACAGUCAAGUUUCUUUGGAACCAGAUGACCCUUCCCCCUGAACUGCUGUGGACUGUUUUGUCUUUUUCUAAUAUGGUAUUUUCCAGUUUGGUCAGAUUAGGUCACAGUCUCAGGGUGUGCUGGGCCUCUGCUGAGCUGAGCAGGACAGCCUGGGACAAAACAGACAGCGGAGACAGACCUAAUAAGAUCUUAGAAGCAGGAAGAUAACAGAAGAGAGCGAAAACAAACGUCAUCAUCGACACACAGUGAAUACAAAAGCUUUUGGUAUGCAUGCUCUUGUCUUCUGUACACCAAACAAGGAUAACAUCCCUGGCUGGACUCAUGCCAGGUACAGGUGGUACACAACGGCUGUACCACCAGGAUGCCCAGAUAUGCACGAUGUUGAGAUGGAUAAGAAUCUUGAAAGACAACUAACCAUUUACAUUUUAAGCCUUGUUCCAGACGUAUAAUUGAUGAAUAAAACAAAACAAAAUGGCUUCUCAGUCUGAUUAUCAGGCUACUACAUUGCCCCAAAGUUUUAUCCCUGUCUACAGUCUCUGUCACAGACAAUUACAUCUUUGCCUCCCAUUCCUCCUCACCGAUUCAAACAAACACCACUCACAUCUACGCCACAGGAUGAGACCUUUAACUGUCAUAAAUAAUAAAUGCCAAAAGGUUCUUCCCUCAGAUAGUUUACUAAACGCUAACCAAUCUUAAUUUAGUGUGAAAAUAGUACAGUCACCGAAAAUUGACAUUUUGUUUACCAAAUAGAAGGAGCUUUACCUUUUUUCAAGUAGCUUAUGAGGAAUGAGUCCUGUGGGCCUCCACCUCACCAUAAUAUGGCUGUAAAAGCCUCCAACCACACCAAGGGAAGAAUGUUAGAUCCAUUAAAACACACAACAAGAGAAAGUGUUGCAGCAGUAAACUGCAUUACAAGCAUUACUGAUAUUUCCUCUCUUGCUCUUAUUCUCAUCCUCUGUUUGCCACACUCUCUCUCUCUCUGUCUCUCUAAUAGCUCAGGGCUGACCAGAGAUCAUAUGACUUGCAGAUCUGUACACUCCUUAGCUGCCUGUGUUAAUUCUCUGAAUGGCUGUUUCUCAGUCCAGUAAGCAGAGCAUUCAUAAUCGGACUGCUGCUGCCUUGAUGGUGAUUUGCUUUUCUUUUGUU